UCUAAUUUUAUCCUUAAUUUCAAAUUAUCAUUGAAUCAAUAACCCUCGGUUAAAAAGAAUUUUUCAACGCGACGAAAAUCUCUCAUUUAACCAAUUAAUCCAAAUAAAAAGUGCGUUCAAAAAACUUUUGCGAAAACUUUAAUUCAUAAAUCGUACGAAAUUUUUCAACUUGCGGACAAUAUUCGUUAAAAUUCCGCAAUCUUUUUCGUUCUGACCUUCCCCAGACUUUUUCUCGACUUCCACCUACAACGAUUUCGAAGUUUCGACGGAUAAAAAAAUAUUCAGUGCAAAGAUAAAAAGGAAAAAAGGAAAGGAAUUCUUAUCGACGAUUAUAAUUAUUUACAUACGAGCAAGCCUCGUUUCGGCGAGGAAACGAACGUUUCGAACGUUCGUUUACAUUCGGUAUGUUUAUCGUGUAUAUAAGUCGGAUAUAAGCGACGCGAUCUCGACCUUUUCGCUUAUAAAUUAACGGGACGCCGGGUGCGAUGGUUGUGCGCGCGGGACCCGCGACGGGAAAUAGUGCGUGAAACGUAACUUUAUACGUUGAACCAAUACCGUUGCAACGAUGCGUUCCAUCGGUGCAGCAACCAACAUACGUGGUGCACGCCGCGCCGGCUACAUAAUAUCACAAUGCGGCCUGCUUGUAAACACACGUGGGAUUCUCCGAGGGGGAGGGAGGGGGAGGCCUGGGGAAUAAAGCUGCCACAAUAACGCAUUGUAAAACGGUAGAACGGAUAUACUGGAAGGGAGAGGAGAAAGAAACGGAAGAGACAAAGGAUCGAAAAGAGAAAUGAAACGGGCGAUACAUUUGCUCGCGCUUAUCGUUGGCUACGUUCGAGUUUCACUAGGGGUGGAUAAAUUGUGGGGGUGGGGGGAGGGGGUGGGUUGUAUGCGAUGGUAUUCUUCCAUUUUUUUUUUUUUUGCAAUGAGUAACAAAUCGAUAGUUUAAUAUCUAUAAUAGUUGUUGCGUGUGAAAUAACUUCCGGUGAACUUUAUAGUAGAUGUUUAAAGAUAUAGAUUAGAUACAAUAUUUUACUGAAAUAGGUUUGAAUAGGUUUUUUUAUGCGAGUUGUAUACAGUUUUUAUUGAAGAAGUAGUUUUUAGUUAUUUCGAAAUUGAUGGAAAAAUUAAAAAUUAUUGUUCAAAAUUAGCUCGAUUUCUAAACUAUAUUUCAAGGUUUAUUUUUGAGGAAAAUAUAGAAUCAACGAUCAAACGCGAAUAUAAAUAGUAGUUAGGUAUAUCGGAAGGUUUCGAGGAUAGCUUUUGGCUUUUAUAGGUUUCUUGGAAGUAUAAGAUCGUAAUAGUAAACUCUAUUUCCACGUUUUAUCGAUAUUUUUCCAAAAUUGAUAUGAUCAAAAUAUUAAAAUAAUUAUAAAUCUUCACGGAGGGAAAUAUCCAAACAUUUUCUAUUCCGUUUUACCAUUCCUUCAAUUGGAACAAAAAAUUUAUAAAGCUAUUUGUUGUAUAACUUCGAGAAAAUAUUCAAAGCGUAGCAUACGAAUAUUUGAAAAAUAAAUCAAUCCUCCUUUAUUUGAAUUAUUCUCUAAUUAAUUCUUUCUUAUUCGUUGAAAAAUUUGAUUUAUACAUUCGUAAUCUAUUAAUCAAAAUUCCAAUUAAUCGAUCCCCGUAUCCACUAUCAUUUUCCCUUCACUUUUAAACGAACGUCCAUCCCAAAGAUGUCCCAAAUCGAUCCUCCCACCAUUUUCCACGGUUCCACAAUCCCCUCGAAACCGAUUUUUCCGCAAAAACGAGCCACGUUUCGCUCGUUUUUCACCUUGUCCUCCCCCGAACAAGUACCGAACCGAGGAAAAAUGGCCACGAAUCCCAGCCCCGUCGUUCCAUCGUGUCCGAGAAGAGAGCAGCGGAAAACGCAGCGUCCCCGAAAUUCGCCUGGCAACCACCCCCUCCCUCUCUCUCUUCCCUCCCUCUUACCUCCCUCCCUUCUUUCUUUAUCUUUCUCCCUCUCUCUUUCCCUCUCUCCCUCCUCUUUUUUUUCUCUCGUUCGUCCAGAUACACUUUUGUUUCGCUCCGUUUAAUGGUCGUGAAUUUUCAGAAUGUCUCCCCGGGGGCUGGCUGAAAAUGAAUUUCACGUAGUGAAACGCGACGGUGCAUCGACCUCGCGGCCGAUCGAUAUCCCUCCACGCUCGGGUCUCGCGAAGGCACCGGCUAACGCACGGAAAUGUUCACCCGGGAGAUUUCAAUUUUUAUCCCGUGUAUUACGAGGAGGAGGAGGGGAGGGAGGGAGGACGGGGUGGGGAAAAAAAUUCGUUCGAUCCUUCGAAAACUUGCAACGGGGUUUGCAAUCGUUCCGAUCUCUUUUCGUUUAACCGCGAAGCAUCGUCUCGCAUGGACCGGAAGUGACGUUGGUGGAACAGUUGGAGAAGUGGUAGAAUAUACUUUGCUAGAGCAAAUUUUAUUUAUUUUUUUUUUUUUUUCAGUUUUUGAAGUAUCGUCUCGUGCGGACCGGAAGUGGCGUCGAUGGAACAGUUGGAGAAGUGGUAGAAUAUACUUUGUUAGAGCAAAUUUUAUUUAUUUUUUUUUAUGUUUUUUUAAACUUUUGUGGGUGGUUGAUUCUUUGAAAAAAGGAUUGAUAGGGUCAAUUUGAUACGAGUAAGAAAGAAAUACGAUUCUUUUUUAGUUUGGUGAAAUAUUUGCGAAUCAGAAUUUUCGUUUCGGGAAUAUUAUCUAUCGUAAUUAGUUUUGAAUUACCGGCUACGCGUAAAACAAUCGAGUUCCAGACGAUUUUAAUGCAUUAUCCUUAAGUAUUCUAUCGGCAAUCGAACCACGGUUACGAUAAUCGUAGAAGUUUUAAUUGAGUGGAGUGGGAAUGGAAAAGGGGAAAUGGUAGAAAAGAGUAAGGAAAAACGAAAAUGGUAGAAAUUCUCGAUUGUGUUUCGAUUUCUGUUUUUCAAAAAAAGAAAAGAGAGAGGACUUGCAUAAAAAUAACAAUCAAUAGAAAUAGAAUAUCGCAAUAUCGAGAUAAAUGAAUGGUGGAAUUCAUUUCUUGCGAAUAAUUUCAAGGAAAAAUAAUCGUAGCAAUCUUCUUUAGGAUCGAGAUUCAAAUAUCAAUAUUCUCUUUAAGUAUUUAAUGAUGGAUUUUUAUGCAGAUUUUUAUUAAAAUGUGUUCAAAUGUUUAACUAAUGUUACAGAUUACGAAUGGAUCUGUCCAGUGACCCACAUUUUUUCCUGGAAAUGCGUAUUAGGUUCUUCCAGGAAUCUCGUCUGUCACUUGUCUGGGAAUUUGGGAUAGAAUAGAAUUUGAGUUCAGAGAAGGGGAAAGAAGUUAUUUUUAAUUGACCGUUGAAGAAAUAAGAAUACAAUUUUGAUCAUUUUAUCAAGGCACGACAUUUCUAUCCAAAUAUCAAUCUUGAAACUAGUUUUUUCCCUAGAAUCAUUUAGGGAUUUGUGCACGCGUUAUCGACAAAAGACGGUGGACGCGCGUAUAAACGCGUAUUCACGGAUGGUCAUAUUUCAGAAUCCCUUUCUGCAGUUUGAAAGGGAGGCUGCAGCCACCCCUUAGCCGCACGAAAAUCAGGACAAAGAGGCAUUUUGCCGUAACGCGAUACAUCACGUCGCGGGGGUGGUUGGCUCGAAAAAAGAAAAGGAAGAAAUGCAAGAAGAAUUGGAAAGAGGAGGAACAGGAUUUUCUGUGUCACCGAUUUAAUCCCACUGCGUGAUCCUACUUUCGACGCCGCUCCAACGAAAUAUUUCCUUAAAGGAGACAGGAAGGCAUUAAAGACUUGUUCGGCGAAAUCGAUGAAGCCCCCGUUUACGAUUCUCCCAUUGGUCACGGAUAUGAAAUAUGGUCGGGCACGAGAGUGCACGGAGCUGGCCGUAGGUUCCAUGGAAACCCGGGACAAGCUACGUUAUUACCGGUUCUCUGGCAUUUAUCUUCGUCGGACGAAGAGGUGGUAUCGAACGAAAGCCACGAGAAUCGACGAUCAACAAUGAAGAAAAGACGCCUCGAAGGAGGGAUUGGCGUCUUUUUUCUAAUCGUGGUAAAUUGAUUCGGUCGUGACUGAUUCCCUUUGCUGGUGGAGGAAGCUCGUCGAAAAGGGUGAACCGGCGAGACGUGGCAAAAGGGGUGACAUGACGUCACGUUUAACUUUAACUGGCGUUAUUUUUACCCUUUGUGUGAGCGCACAUCCACGGUUGAAAAAGUGAUGACGUAAAACGGAAAAUUCCGAUCCAGAUUGCUGGACUCGUCAAGUUUGGCUUUUUUAGAUGUUUUUAUUUUUUAAUCGUGUCUUAUAUUUGUCGAUAUUUCGUUCUUUUUUUUUUUUUUGAUAUUGAAUUAAUGAAAGAGUAAUAUAGGGUUUAAAACAAGAAUGAUAAUAUUCGAGAAGGUGUUGUGCUUUUAAACUCUUGCUUUUAGUCGUUUUGACUCGCAAAUUGUGGCAUUAUAAUUUAUUUACCAAGUAGAAUUCGGAUAUCGAAGCGAAAGGGGCGAUAAUACAAAGUUGGGAUAUUACAAAAGAAAGAGAUUCGAGCGAGGAACGAUUUAAUAUCCUCCGCGGAGCAAAAGGAUUUUACGGUGG